rnacentral:rRNA from 1 species
UAGUCAUACGCUCGUCUCAAAGAUUAAGCCAUGCACGUCUAAGUACAAGCACUUGUAUUGUGAAACUGCGAAUGGCUCAUUAUAUCAGUUAUAGUUUAUUUGAUAGAUUUCUACUACAUGGAUAACCGUAGUAAUUCUAGAGCUAAUACAUGCUACAAUGCCCAACUUUUUGGACGGGCAGUAUUUAUUAGAUAGAAACCAAUGCAGGGUUCUCCCUGGUGUUGUGGUGAAUCAUGAUAACUUAGCGAAUCGCAGUGACUUUGUCGGCGAUGAAUCAUUCAAGUUUCUGCCCUAUCAGCUGUCGAUGGUAGGGUAUUGGCCUACCAUGGCGUUAACGGGUGACGGAGAAUUAGGGUUCGAUUCCGGAGAGGGAGCCUGAGAGAUGGCUACCACAUCCAAGGAAGGCAGCAGGCGCGUAAAUUACCCAAUCCUGAUACGGGGAGGUAGUGACAAGAAAUAACAGUACGGGGCCUAUUAGGUCUUGUAAUUGGAAUGAGUACAAUGUAAAACCCUUAACGAGGAUCAAUUGGAGGGCAAGUCUGGUGCCAGCAGCCGCGGUAAUUCCAGCUCCAAUAGCGUAUAUUAAAGUUGUUGCAGUUAAAAAGCUCGUAGUUGGAUUUCUGGUAGGAGCGACCAUACCGAGCUUGAUUGUUUGUGUAAUGUGUUGCCUCCAGCCCAUCCUCGUGGAGAUUGUUUCUGGCAUUAAUUUGUUGGGAAAUAGGACCCGCGUCGUUUACUGUGAAAAAAUUAGAGUGUUCAAAGCAGGCAAU